CAGGUGUUCGACUGAUCGUGUGGAUCUGCCUGAAAAUGGUGCCGCCCAAGUGUUCGAUGAAAGGUCUGAACACAGCGUUUGAGGCAGGAUCAACGCCACUACCCCAUGACCACUAACUGCUCCACAUUUUGGUCUGGUUUCUUAUGAAAAAACAUCUUGCAAUUUGAAGAUGACACAAACAGGGAAACACAGCUUCAUUAUCAAUCUGAUUUCUGUGUAGUGUGUUUCCUUGAACAUAAGUGAGGCUACUUUCUAAGGUUAAGUACAGAAGGUUUAGCUUCCAAAGUUAAUUUCACCUAAACCUAAAAGAAAUAUUAAAAGACUCGUCAAACAUCAAAAACUCAUUGAAUAUUUUGGCAUCGUACUAUUUUGGCAUUCAACUAACACAUCUUUGUUCUGAUUUGGUAAAUUGACUCAUUAUAAUUGUUUUUGUGCCAAAUUGCAGAUCAUAUAGCCCUUAUACUUGCGCAUUCUAAUCUUUUAUGUACUGAAUAUGUGUUUUUCGUUGAUCAAAUUUCCUAGUCUUUGUUUUUGUCAUAUGUUUUUAAAUUGUAUUUUUUUGUGAACACCUUCAGUCUUGUUUUUCUCUUUCGAAGUUUUUGUUAAAAUUUGUCCAGAUGGUUGAUGGGAGGCUGAUUUUUGUUGAAGUUGCCCAGACUCAAAAACAGGAAGAGGAUACCAAAUCUAGAUAAUGACCUAAUUUUUUCUCUAUGUUGUUCAAGAUGGGUUAACUUCUUAAGAUUGAACAUAUAUUAUAUUUACUAUUGUAUGCUCAUCAUUGCUUUGGUACUUCAAGUUUGAGAAAUCUGAAUACAGCUUCCUCUUGUAAUGUCAUUUUUCCCAUUAAAAAAGA